rnacentral:lncRNA from 1 species
CAACAGUUCCUCAAACACUUAAUGUCCAGCUUAAGUGAAAUCAACAGUUUAAAAUCCACACAGGUGUCAGAAAGGAGAGCACAGCACUCUGUGGGCCCCGCUGACCGCACAGCACCAACCUGGGAGGGACAGGAAAACGUCUCUGUGUGGGGGUUGUGCCGCUGCCCUUUGGAGCUGUGGGGGCUCUCCUGGGUCCCAUUCCCAGCAGGGAACCCCCCCCCCGGGGUCUGAGCAUCCUGGGGGGCUCUAUAGGAGCUCAGCCCCAAGGCACAGCCCCACAGCACCUUCCUCCUCCUCACCUAUGCCUGGACGUGGAACGCAACCACACACACCCCAGCCAGCUGUGUGAAAGACGUAUAUAUUCAGCACGCACCCAAUACAGCAUAGCCAAAAAAAAAAAAAAAAAAAAAAAAAAAAAAAAAAAAAAGCUAUGGUUUCCAUUAGGGGGAAAGAAAAUAAAAAUCCAUGGGGGGGGAAAAAAAAACAAACAAACCCAAACCUUCAAAAGUACCACCAAAAAAUUGCAGAAUCGGUCCCCAACCUACAUCCCUAACGCUCGUCCUCAACAAGCCCAAGCUGCCCCAUGCCAUCCCUGCACCACGUGGCACCGGGGCAGCCCUGAGCUCUUCGCUUUGUGCUCCUUCCUCUGCAUGCUCUGCAGUCGGCCAAUGGGACCUCAACCAGCACCGCUACAAUGGGAAGGAUGUGCGGGGCUUCCAGUUCCCCCACCUGCUCGUGGUGUGGGGAGCUCUGUGCUAACCGGGAUGGGGGGCAGCGAGUGGGACGGGAUGGCACCGCCAGCCCAGGGGGAGCAUGGCGGGGAGAGGGGCUGCAGCACUGGGCAUGGGAACAUCAGGGUUAUGGGGGGACCACAACUCUGCUGCUGGGGGAGGUGAGGAUGAGGAGGGUGAAGAGAGGACUGCGGGAAGGGGAGGUAGAUUGGCUUUGGAGACCUCUUGCCCAGGAGGAUGUGCUCUCAGAUGCUCAUCUGGGGGAAAUGAGCCCCUGCAGGGCGCUGAUCGCCCAUGCAUGCCUUCUCCCCAGGGGAGGGUGUCUCGGAGCCCGGCCAGGGAAAGCUCUCCAAGUGGGGGCAGCUUUCCUCUGAACCUCUGAGCCCUGAAACUGCCUCCACAGCUGCUGCAGGAGAGCUCCCAGCAGCCGGGGGCAAGCCUGGGGGUACGGCAGCAACCUCAACCCCAGCCCCUCUCACCCCGGGGACCGCCUGCAUGCCGAUCCCCGUCCCCCCCUCCCCGUUCCCCCUGCCGUUAGUCCUGCUGCUCGUUCAUCUCCAUGUCUGACACCAAGAUGUUCUUCUCGGCCGCUUCGCUAGGGUUGGAGGUGGUGCGGCUGUAGCGGGCGCUCUCGAAGGCUCCACGCUCGGAGCUCCUCCGCCGCUUGUACAGGAAGAUGGCGAUGCCCAGCAGAGCGCUCAGCGCCAGCGCCGACAGCACCACCACCGCGAUGGCCGUCGUGUUCUCCGGCAGAGCUGCCCUGGAGAAGCUGCUCUCCUCCACUCUGGGGAUCUUGCAGAUGACACCCAUGGUGACAUUGGUGCAGGAGCCCAAGCGCCAGACUCCAUUGCUGCUCUGGAUCCAGUAGCAGCUGUUCUGGCUCAGCAUGCUGGGCCCCGUGUCAUGCUGGCCCCAGUUGGAGUAGUUCACAGCUGUGUUGUCGUGCCAAACCAAGGUGCCUCCUUUGGGGUUGAACGUCAUGCCCAGCCAGGCACCCUUGGAUUGGCCCUCGUAUGCCUGGAGGUGCUCCCACACGAAGACGUUCUCCAUCUCAUCCUGGAUGGACAACACUGUGCCACCAACUUUCUGGCACCUCCGCAUUGCAUCCUUCUGCCCCAGGGUGAUCUCCAUGUGGAAGGUGUAGCAGUGGUCCCUGAAGGGGAUCCAGGAUGAGUCCUCCAGCGACUUGGGGCAGCUGCCGCUGUAGCUCCACUUGUGCGUGCGGGGGGGACCCGACUGGAGCUGGCAGAUGCCGCCCUGCAGCUUGGUGUCACAUCCAGCCGUGCGCCAGCUCCCAUCCACAUCCAUGUAGGCACAGCCAGCAGCCUGCUGGGGCUCCCCGUCCUGCCAGUUGGUGUAGAACAGGCUCUCCUCCGACAGCCAUGAGUAGCUCCGACCUCCCUCAUUGUUGGCCAACCCGAUCCAGAGUGGAGCCCGUAGGCUGCUGACGGCCUGGGUGAGGAAAGCCUGGCUGUAGGGGUCAGGAAUGGUGGCCAGGGUGGCAUUGAGGGUCUCGCACAGCAGCAGGGCUUCGUGCCACCUGAGGGGCUUCUGCAGGAUGCGGUAAGUGCUGUUGUGGUAAAAGAGGGUGCCGGUGGGCGAGGGGGGGUACGGCGUCUGUGCGGGGCUCAGGGAUGGGUCUAUUUUCCGUUGGCAGAUGUAGCCGUGCUUCUCCUCCACGCAGCUCCGGUCAUCCCAGCGCCCCGUGAAGUGGGGGGGUGAGCCAUGCCACACCACCACGCAGUUGGUCGGCUUGUCGCCAGGGCUGGAAGAGCUGCAUUCCGAGGGCUCCCCAGGUGCCCAGCUGACGUGUCGCAGCGGCUCACCCUCCACCCACUGGAACUCCUUCUUGGCAUCGUGGAGGCCAAUCCACAGGUCGAAGGAGAUGUUCAGCAGCAUGGAUGUGAUGAAAGCCUGCUCCAGAGGGCUGGAGAUGGUGGCCAGCACGGCGCCCUGGCUCUCACAGGCCUGCUUUGCCUCCGGCCACUUCACGAUGUCAGCUUUGUCGUGGCCAUUGAAGCUGAAACACUUGCUGAGGAACGGGACCCAGCCACGGGGACAGCCCCCACUUGCGGGAGCAGGCAGUGGUGGGAUGGACGGCUUCACAGCAGUGGCAUUGCUCCGCUUGCAGAUGUAGGGCAGCGCCGUUGGGCAUUUCUGAUCCCCCCAGUCCUCUCUGCUGGCCGUCAUAUAGACGCACUUCUUGUCCUUGUUGAUGGGACGGGGUUUGCCUGGUGCCCAGGAGACAAAGUUGAGGAGGGACCCAUCAGACCACUUGAACCUGCCAUCGUUCUCAUAGGUGUGCAGCCCAAUCCACCAGUGCUGCUCCUGACCCCUGGAGAACUUCUUCAGGUUCUGACCCAGGAAGUGCAGCUCGGACUCGCUGUGCACCGACACCAGCUCUGCCUGGAACCAGCUGCAGAUGCGCUGUGCCUGCAUCCACGUUGAGUGGUGCUCAAAGAACUUGUACUCAGCCUCUUGGUACUUCACCCACUCUUUACUGCCUUGGGUUGUGAUCUCCGGCUCCUUCACAUCAGUUCCUUUGGGCAGUUUGCAGAUCCAGUCCAGCUGGGCUUCGCACUGCAUCGGCAUCCACUGCAGGGAGGCCAGGUCCAGCACUGCGCAGUUCCGGAUGUCGUCGUCAUCGUAGUUGCUGCGGUCAAAGUUGUGGUAGAAGAACCCCAACCCAUCGCUCCACCGCCAGCUCCGGUCCCCUGCAGGGUCGCGCCGGUUGAGGCCAAUCCAGAACCAGUGCUGCUCGUGGAUCUCUG